rnacentral:rRNA from 1 species
UGAACGCUAGCGGGAGGCCUAACACAUGCAAGCCGAGCGGUAUUUGUUCUUCGGAACAGAGAGAGCGGCGCACGGGUGCGGAACACGUGUGCAACCUGCCCUUAUCUGGGGGAUAGCCUUUCGAAAGGAAGAUUAAUACCCCAUAAUAUAUUGAGUGGCAUCAUUUGAUAUUGAAAACUCCGGUGGAUAGAGAUGGGCACGCGCAAGAUUAGAUAGUUGGUGAGGUAACGGCUCACCAAGUCAAUGAUCUUUAGGGGGCCUGAGAGGGUGAUCCCCCACACUGGUACUGAGACACGGACCAGACUCCUACGGGAGGCAGCAGUGAGGAAUAUUGGACAAUGGGUUAGCGCCUGAUCCAGCCAUCCCGCGUGAAGGACGACGGCCCUAUGGGUUGUAAACUUCUUUUGUAUAGGGAUAAACCUACUCUCGUGAGAGUAGCUGAAGGUACUAUACGAAUAAGCACCGGCUAACUCCGUG